UACCAAUUAAAGCAAAGGGGAGCACCUGAUACCAUUCCGAACUCAGUAGUUAAGCCCUUUUACGCCGACGAUACCUGAAAUAUGGGAAAAUAGGGAGUUGGUAGUUU
rnacentral:rRNA from 1 species